CUCCUGCUCAAUGGUUAACUAAAUAGCCGCAGUACAUUGACUGUGCAAAGGUAGCAUAAUCAAUUGGCUUAUAAUUAAGGUCUAGAAUGAAUGGAGCAUUGGGUAUAUACUGUCUUAAUGUGUUAUUAUAAUUUACUUAAUAAGUGUAAAUACUUAUAAAUAAAUAAUAGACGAUAAGACCCUAGAAAUUUUUUAUAAAAUAAAUAUUACUAUUAUUAUUUUGCUGGGGCGGCAGAGUAGCAAAAAACCUAUUUUAUUAUUAUGCGAAGAUGUCAGAAAAAAUAUAAUUACUCUAGGGAUAACAGCAUAAUUUAUAAUAGUUUGUGACCUCGAUGUUGGACUAAGGUUUAUAUUGUCUAGAAGAUACUUAUAUCUGCUCUGUUCGAGCAUACAUCCUU
rnacentral:rRNA from 1 species